GUCAACAGCUUGAUAACUGUUAGAAGAAAGUUCUGGUUCAAGUCCAAAAACCACUCAGGAUAAAUUGCUUGGAGCAGAAGCAAAGUUUAUUCAACAUCUUUAGCAAAUGAAGGAAACUACUCAGAUCUUGAAACCUUUUGGCAAAAAAAAACCCUAUAUCUGGCAUAGAAUAUCUAAGUAAAUAUGGAAGAGGAUGGGAUGAGGAGGCAAGAUAAACAUUUGCAGAUCUAUAGAGAGGGAACUAUUCAUGAUUUUGUCGUACUACUGUGCAUUUUGAUCAAGAAAGGGAACAGAAAAGAUUCACAUAUGUGAUAAAUUUAGAUGCUGAAGAUGCCGCCAAGCACAAUUAAAUGCUGAGCAGAGAAAGAUAUCGAGCUGGGCCAGAAGUUUUCCACUUAUGACAAGCAAUUCAUUUGUCAUAAACAUGACAGAAGUUGA